CUCCCGGAAACGGGAAUUAAUACCCCAUGGUAUAUAUUCACUGCAUGGUGGAUAUAUUAAAGAUUCGUCGGUGAAAGACGGGCAUGCGUAGGAUUAGCUAGUUGGUGGGGUAACGGCCCACCAAGGCGACGAUCCUUAGGGGUUCUGAGAGGAAGGUCCCCCACACUGGCACUGAGAUACGGGCCAGACUCCUACGGGAGGUAGCAGUAGGGAAUAUUGGUCAAUGGGCGAGAGCCUGAACCAGCCAUGCCGCGUGCAGGAAGACGGCCUAUUGGGUUGUAAACUGCUUUUAUACGGGAAGAAAAGGCCCCUGCGGGGGAUAUUGCCGGUACCGUAUGAAUAAGCACCGGCUAACUCCGUGCCAGCAGCCGCGGUAAUACGGAGGGUGCGAGCGUUGUCCGGAUUUAUUGGGUUUAAAGGGUGCGUAGGCGGCCGAAUAAGUCAGCGGUGAAAGUUUCCGGCUCAACCGGGAGACUGCCGUUGAUACUGUUUGGCUUGAGUAAUGGAGGGGUACAUGGAAUUUAUGGUGUAGCGGUGAAAUGCAUAGAUACCAUAAGGAACACCGAUAGCGAAGGCAUUGUACCGGCCAUUUACUGACGCUGAGGCACGAAAGCGUGGGUAGCGAACAGGAUUAGAUACCCUGGUAGUGCACGCCGUAAACGAUGAUCACUCGCUGUAGACUGCGUAGCAGUUUGUGGCCAAGCGAAAGCGUUAAGUGAUCCACCUGGGGAGUACGCCGGCAACGGUGGAACUCAAAGGAAUUGACGGGG
rnacentral:rRNA from 1 species